GAUGAACUCUGGCGGCGUGCCUAAUACAUGCAAGUCGAGCGAACAGAUAAGGAGCUUGCUCCUUUGACGUUAGCGGCGGACGGGUGAGUAACACGUGGGUAACCUACCUAUAAGACUGGAAUAACUCCGGGAAACCGGGGCUAAUGCCGGAUAACAUUUAGAACCGCAUGGUUCUAAAGUGAAAGAUGGUUUUGCUAUCACUUAUAGAUGGACCCGCGCCGUAUUAGCUAGUUGGUAAGGUAACGGCUUACCAAGGCAACGAUACGUAGCCGACCUGAGAGGGUGAUCGGCCACACUGGAACUGAGACACGGUCCAGACUCCUACGGGAGGCAGCAGUAGGGAAUCUUCCGCAAUGGGCGAAAGCCUGACGGAGCAACGCCGCGUGAGUGAUGAAGGUCUUCGAAUCGUAAAACUCUGUUAUUAGGGAAGAACAAAUGUGUAAGUAACUGUGCACGUCUUGACGGUACCUAAUCAGAAAGCCACGGCUAACUACGUG
rnacentral:rRNA from 1 species